rnacentral:lncRNA from 1 species
GGCUAAAAUCUUGACUACAAGAAUUUGACAUUUUGAUAGCUUCUGUACCUGAAAAAAAAAUUAUGACACUUUAGAUUUCAAACAUCUAAUUUCAAUUAUUAAAUAUUAAUGAAGCAAAACUACAUUAUAUAGUGAAACCAAUGUGGAGCAACCAUUUCAUCAAGGCAUCUUCAAAUACCAUUGGUAGUAAUCAUAAACUAAAUCAAUCAUAAAAUUACUACUAAAAAGUUAAUCCAAAAAAAGUAUGCAAAAGAACAUACCUAUCACAACAUCCAACACUCUUUUAUCUUUUACACAAGCCUGUGAAACUCAUUAUAUUAACUGCUAACUAUAAACUAAUUUGAGGCCAGUAAGAAGAGAUCCAAACCUUUUUGUUGCUGGGUUGUUUUAGAGCUAUUCCAACUCCUCGUGUAGCCAUUUCCCAAACAUAAGUGGUACAUGCCACUAACAAACUAAUAAUACAUUAAUAAUGAAUGCUUAAACAAAUAAAAACUCUAAAUCCUAUCCGUAACAGAUUAUUAUGUUAUCAUUAUUAUAUACCUCAUUUGGCUCCUAUAUUGAGUAAGGAUUUCAAUCUCCCUGUGAAACAUAAAUGAUUUAAUUUAUUAUAUGCAAUCUCACUAUAAAUAUAAGUAAAUACAAGCAUCAAGAAUUUGAUGACACCAAUAAAAAUUAAAUUGUCUCAAACCUUGCUCAAAGGGGCAUCUUGUCAUAUUGAGCUAAAACCAAAUGUGUGGUGUUUAAAUCGUCCCCCUGACCCACAUCAUCCAGGUCAUCGUAAUCAUCUUCAUUCAAGGGUUCAUCAUCUCUAGUGUCAUUCUGAACAGGAGCAGGAGUUGCUGCUAGCAUCUCUAUAAGUGCAGAUUGUAAGUCAUAAUAUGAGCAUUUUCAACGAAAUAGUUUUCACAUAUUCACAGAAGCAAAAAGUGAAAUAAAAUGGAUUGGGGAAAAAAUGUAGUUGCCUUAUUUAACAUAUUGCUAAGCAAUUCUAACCUGCUAAUAAUCACUAAAUAAUUAGCCUUUACCAUUAUAAUUAAAAAUCAAAAAUCAAUCUGUAAGAAACCCAACCAAAUUUGAGAUAAACAUAAAACAAGCAAACUUGAUAAAACUGAGACACCACAAAUGAUAACAACCUGAGUUGAUGGCUGAUGAGGCGCUCCCCUCUCACCCUCUUUUAUGUGAAUAAUGUGAGUUAUAAAUCAUAAAAGAUCAUAACUUUUAUGUCAUUUACCCACUUAAGUUGUUGGGUCAGAUACCACAUGAGAUGUCAAAAGUCUUUUUAAAAUUUCAAAAAAGAACCAAUGCAUUGGAGAUAAACUAUUGCCUACGAAUCUACCUGCCAAAGAACCAAAAGAAAUAAAAAAUAAAACAAGUAGCAGAAGAAAAGCACAACAAAAACCAAAGAGUCAAAGCUACUAAUUCUAAGCUUAUUUUCGAAUAAACCAUAUCAGUUAUGGUGGAAACUAGCUAUAAGUCAUGCUCCAUUUUAGUUGAAAUAUUCUCUUGAAACAUAUUAAAGAAAGCAAUUGUAAUGUAGACGAACAAAAGCAAAUCAAAUUACUAAAUAGAAAAACUCUGUUUCGAUGAAGGAAAAACAAAAACUCACUUAGAUAACCCCAUGCCAAUCUAGAUAUAAGUAUUCUCAAUCUUCAAUCCAAGACAUCCAAAUCUGCAAGCCAAAUUCAAGCCAACAAAGUAUUGAGAAACUAAUCUGUAGCAAAAUUAUCCAAAUUCUACACUUCUAAUUGCAACUUAAUUGUUACCCAGAAGAUAAAUUCAAGAUAAAUAUGCACCUAGCUAGAUCUAGAGUUUUUACUUUUUAACGGGCCAAUACCUCUAGGACCCUGUACAUGGUGAGAAAAACAUUGAAGUGUAAUUGAGGGCUCUGAAACAUUACAAAGUUCACAUACAAUCAGUUGAAAAUUCAAAGUAAUCCACAAAAUGUAGAGAUUUGAAGAGAAACCAUAUAACUACCUUAGAUAGUGCAAGGGAGUUCUGGUGGGUCGACUGCAAGGACGAUUAAAAUUGUCGGACCGCAAUAACAUACACUCCUCACGGACCUCACCAAUUGCAGGGGCGUCAAUCCGCGGCUUCUUCGUUUUUUUCUUCUGUUGAGGCGUCGAGAGGGAGAGAAAAUUGUAGUAGCCAGUUAAUUUUUUUUUGUUCAUAGAUUGUGGUUCGUAGGUGGAGUGGGUAGGGCAUGACACAAACAAUUUUAUUUCUUUUGAAUUUUAGAAUAUAACAUAAUUAAAAAAAU